ensembl:lncRNA
CUUGCAUCCUGAAGGUACAGAUGAACACGAAUGGACUUUGUUUCUCAGGUUGUACUAUUAACUCGUUCAUAUUACAGGAAUAGAUUCUGAAAUAAACAGCUCACUUAUAACGUAAAUGAUUACGCCACCAAUAUUUUAUGAAUGUGACCCAAAGUGCUGCUAAUGGAGGCUGGAGCUGUGCCAGCUGCAGGUCCUGAUGAUGUAAUGGACACCCCACCAGUGACUGAUGACCCCACUGUCACACAAGAAACGAGAGAUGAUGAUGAAAACACAAGCCCUGAUAUGGACAUUAAAGAGGCUCUCAUUAAAUCUGAGCAAGAAUCUACUACUGAGGACCCAGAUACUGAAGAUAAAGUCCACUUUGACAGUACAGGUCAGACUACUAUCAAUGCAGCAGGCCAAAUAACAACAGUAGAACAUGAGGGAGAAGGCAUUGCAGUAGGUGUGGCUGGUUGCACAGGAACAAUGCCUAAAACAUCCCAGCCUGAUUUCAGCACAGAGAAGACCAGGAUGGAACCAGAAUCACAGUCAGAUGGACAUGUGGACAGUAUCAACUCGGCAAACAAACCAUUAAAAGAAGAUGGUCAAGAAGAAUUGAACAGCACAACACACAAAGCUUCACAAACUGAUGGUCCUGCAGAAAUGAUCACUGCAACAUUUGGACCAUCAGAGUGCAGUGUUUCACUCCUCAGUGAAAUGAAUCAGAAAGUUCAGAGUCUCAACAUUGUGGUGUUUGGAAACAUUUCUACAGUCUCCUUUGGAGAUGAGAACAUCCUACUUGGACAACAGCAAGUUCCUCUAGAACCACCCCACUUACCCAGAGCAAGAACUGUUUCAGGGCGAAUCAUUUCAGUGAUCAAUAUACUUGACUUACAUGAGGGAGAACUCUACCUGGACCCUGUAGAUCAUGCCAUUGAUCAGUUAUUCACAGAAAACAAUAUCCAUUCUUUCAUCUUUGCUUUAAAACUUGGUCAGUUAACGGAUGAUGAUAUGGCAGGACUAGAAUGGCUGCAGAGAAAGUUUGGAGAAAAUGUUCUUUCAUUUGUGAUAAUUCUCUUCACUUACGAGAGAGAGGAGGCCUGUGACACCAUUAUAGAUGACCUGAAGAAAAACAGUGUUCUAGAGGAGCUGCUGAAGAAGUGUGGAGACAGAUAUCACACCUGCAGCAAGAGCAUGAACAACCAAUCAGAGAUGAGAACACUGCUGGAGAAGAUUGACCAUCUGGUCUCUGAAAACAAACAACACUGCUACACUGCUGACCAAACAUCCUUAAAGACCAGGGAAAAACAACGUGUUAGGAGCCAAAUAACUGCUAGAGCUGCAGUUCAGAUUCAAGAAGACGACAUUGACUCCCUAAGCAUCAGUCAGGACCCAAAUAUACAAAGAAAGGUCAUUUACUUCAUGUAUAAACACAGACUAUUAAAUAUAUGAAUGUGAGCUUGGGUCAUUGUAUAAUUACACAAUUAUGCUUCUAUGUGCUGCAUGUUGCAUAUAAUUUAUUUGUGUAAAGUUGAACACAUGAAUGACAAAAUCCCUUUCAAUAUAUUUGUCACAGUAUGGCCCCUUCUCCCAAAUGUCUGUGUGUGUGUGUGUGCAUGCGUGCAUUCGUCUGUAUGGCCACGCCCUCCCUGUGUUUCACACCUGCUCCUCAUUCUGUAUCAUUAAUGUGCAUGUAUAUAAGUCUUGUGUUUGAAUGUGAAUGUUGUCAAUGUUUGAACCCAGUUAGCCUGCUAGCCAUGUAGCUGUCUUUGUUUUGUGUAGCAAUAAAUGUUUUGUUGUGUUUAACAUGACUCAUCCCCGCAUCC